GGCAAAAAUCGUUGUAAACUCCAACAUACACUCAAAGUACCCAUACACAAGUGAGAAACGAGUUUUUCUGAAAAAAUGUGAGCUUGAAAACAUUAUAUCCUUUCGAGAUUUCCAAAUCGACCAAACCUCAGCAGGUCAAAUCAUUAAAAAAUGUCACAGGUCAUAAAUAGUUGAGAAGAUGACUUAGAAGCAAUUAAACAAAAGCGGCAUAAGAAGGUCCACAGACCAAGUGAGACUCUCUUGCUAAGCAGAUUCUCUCUAGUGUGGAUUUGAUCCUGAAGGAGAUAUCAGGAGAACACAAUGGCUUUAGAAGGACCCAACUAUUCCAACGACGUGUAUGUAUAUUUUAACAUAAUAGUUUGCAUAUUUAGGUGAAUCUAAGUCGACAUAUAACGAGACACACUUAGACGUGAGUGUUGGGAAGUUAUUAUCUCUCUCAUUCGUUAAUCGUCUGCAUGUACAAUGUAGGAUCCAACACUAUAAGAACAUAUUAUUAAUGCUUUUAUAAUAAAAAAUUUAAUAUUCUUUUUGGUCUUGUAUCUUAAUUUUGGGGUUCAUUUUGGUCCAUUAACUUAAGAAAGGUCCAUAUUGAUCCUUUAACUCUUCAAAACAUAUCAUGUUAGUUCUUUUUGUCUAAUUACCAACAGAUUUAGCGAUAAAAUUCUGAAUUUUUUCAUCGCUAAUUAGAAAAAAAAAGACUAACAUGAUACGUUUUGAAAAGUUAAGGGAUUAAUGUGAAUAUUUUUAAAUUUAAGGAUCUAAUGCUCAAAAUUGAGGUGGCAGCUCUAAUGCUCAAAAACACGCGCGAAGGUGGAGAAAAACAAGAAAGGGGGGUUUGAAUUGUUUUUACGGUAAAUAAAAACUUUUGCAACACCACACACACGAAAGUAAAUGCAGACAACAUAAGAAAUUUAUCCUGGUUCGCUUGAAAAUCAAAGAUACUCCAGUCCAUCCAGCCAAGGUGAUUUCGCCUCUCAAUAAGGACUUAAUCCAAUAAUCUUGAAAGAUUACAACAAACGUCUAAGAGUUCAGCAAUCUCUUAGCCCUCUCAAGUCUACAGACUUCACAAGUCACUCGAGGAACCACAACAACUAUUGAUAAUUACAAGUGUUUGUUUCAGUACUUCUAGGCAAGAAGUAUGAACAUGAUUAAGACUAAAUGAUCAAUGAUCACACUAUGAGCAACAACUUUUAUGUGAUUACUGAAUUAUACAGUAACAAGUAUUUAGUAUAUGAGUCAAGGUGUAUUGUAGAAUCCUUGUGUAAUUGCUUCAUGUGUUGGUAUGAUGAUAGUGAGGCCUUUAUAUAGAGCUUGGAAAUGAUACUGUUUGAGAGAAAAUUGAUGGAGAUAUCUUGCCAAUUAUGGGACUUAAUGACAUUAAUUUUCUUGUCC